rnacentral:lncRNA from 1 species
AGAUGGAUGUGUCUAUAUGAAUAUUCUUCAUGAAAUUUCUUUCUUUUGAUCUAUAUAUAUCCAUAUCAUUUUAAACUCAUAUAUUGAUGAAAAUAAUUCAUCUAAUUUAUCAAAAGAAUUAAUCAAGAACCAUUUAAUAAUAAUGAAUUAUUCUAAUCAUUUUUUUAUAGAAUAAUUAAUCAAAAUCUUAUGGAUUAUAGGUUUCUCAUAAUUAGUCCCUAGUCUUGGUUUUUUACAACAUCUAGAAAAAAUAUAAAGUA